rnacentral:piRNA from 1 species
GUAAAUUAACCUGGGUCAGAGUGG